GGCAGGGUAUAGGGAGAUCACAAGGGUUAGUGCAGUUUCCUGAGACUGCUAACAUGGCCUGUUUCCCCUAGGACUGAAGAAGGUCCCUGGAGGGGAGGGAAUGGGAAGAUACAGGUUCUGGAAAUCUCAGUGAGGCUGAGGAGUGAGUUCCUCCCAAGAACCUGGAAAUAAGGGUGGCUCCUGAGAGUUACAAAAAAACCCGUCUAGAACACAUGUGGGAGUAAAUCCAAAAUGGCUGGUCUGUAAAUGUGUGACUGAGUGUUUGGGAACCAACUAAAGUCUGUCAAGGGUGGUGGCUGAGGACGCCUCGGGGAGGUUGGGCUGGAGGGGGACCCUAUUGGGUGAACAGAAAUCCCAAUUGUAUUAAGUAAACUAAUAAAGGUAAAGCGUUUACUGUAGUGUCCAUCACUCAGCAAGCACUAA
rnacentral:lncRNA from 1 species